CCUACGGGGUGCAGCAGUGAGGAAUAUUGGUCAAUGGCCGUAAGGCUGAACCAGCCAAGUCGCGUGAAGGAAGAAGGAUCUAUGGUUUGUAAACUUCUUUUAUAGGGGAAUAAAGGUAUCCACGUGUGGAUAUUUGCAUGUACCCUAUGAAUAAGCAUCGGCUAACUCCGUGCCAGCAGCCGCGGUAAUACGGAGGAUGCGAGCGUUAUCCGGAUUUAUUGGGUUUAAAGGGUGCGUAGGUUGUUUUUUAAGUCAGCGGUGAAAGUUUGUGGCUCAACCAUAAAAUUGCCGUUGAAACUGGAAGACUUGAGUGUGUUUGAGGUAGGCGGAAUGCGUGGUGUAGCGGUGAAAUGCAGAGAUAUCACGCAGAACUCCGAUUGCGAAGGCAGCUUACUAAGCCAUAACUGACGUUGAGGCUCGAAAGCGUGGGGAGCAAACAGGAUUAGAUACCCUUGUAGUC
rnacentral:rRNA from 1 species